rnacentral:rRNA from 1 species
UGGAGAGUUUGAUCCUGGCUCAGAUUGAACGCUGGCGGCAGGCUUAACACAUGCAAGUCGAACGGUAACAUARAGAAGCUUGCUUCUUUGAUGACGAGUGGCGGACGGGUGAGUAAUGCUUGGGAAUCUGGCUUAUGGAGGGGGAUAACUACGGGAAACUGUAGCUAAUACCGCGUAAUAUCGAAAGAUUAAAGUGUGGGACCUUCGGGCCACAUGCCAUAGGAUGAGCCCAAGUGGGAUUAGGUAGUUGGUGAGGUAAAGGCUCACCAAGCCGACGAUCUCUAGCUGGUCUGAGAGGAUGACCAGCCACACUGGGACUGAGACACGGCCCAGACUCCUACGGGAGGCAGCAGUGGGGAAUAUUGCGCAAUGGGGGCAACCCUGACGCAGCCAUGCCGCGUGAAUGAAGAAGGCCUUCGGGUUGUAAAGUUCUUUCGGUAGCGAGGAAGGUGGUUAGUUUAAUAGGCUAGCCAAUUGACGUUAACUACAGAAGAAGCACCGGCUAACUCCGUGCCAGCAGCCGCGGUA